GGAGAGGUGGAUGAGUGGUUUAAGUCACACGCCUGGAAAGCGUGCGUAGGUUUAUCCCUACCGGGGGUUCGAAUCCCCCCUUCUCCG
rnacentral:tRNA from 1 species